rnacentral:rRNA from 1 species
UACGUAGGGGGCAAGCGUUGUCCGGAAUCAUUGGGCGUAAAGAGCGUGUAGGCGGUCCGGUCAGUCGGUUGUGAAAGUCAAGGGCUCAACCCUUGAAUGCCGGCCGAAACUGCCGGGCUAGAGUCCGGAAGAGGUCGAGUGGAAUUCCUGGUGUAGCGGUGAAAUGCGCAGAUAUCAGGAGGAACACCAGUGGCGAAGGCG